rnacentral:rRNA from 1 species
UACGUAGGGUGCAAGCGUUGUCCGGAAUUAUUGGGCGUAAAGAGCUCGUAGGUGGCCUGUCGCGUCGGCUGUGAAAACUCAGGGCUUAACCCUGAGCCUGCUUCCGAUACGGGCAGACUAGAGGUAUGCAGGGGAGAACGGAAUUCCGUGGUGUAGCGGUGAAAUGCGCAGAAUAUCAGGAGGAACACCGGUGGCGAAGGCG